ACCCUCUCAGGAUCGCACCUGGAGAGUUUCCAGUAUUCUACCCGUCUUGGCUGUGGGAAGGAGAGUCAAGCAGAGGUAUUCCCAUUCCAUUCCUAGCUUGGGCAGUGGCUAGGGAGUGGAAAGCAAUCUGCUACGAGG